GACCUCCUUCAAAAGCUGGAGCAAUAGGUUCUUUGAAGUGAGACAAAAUUACUAAGGGAGCUAAAGAGCACAAACCAUGCUUAAUAAGAAUGAAACUGAAUUGGGAGGAAAAUUAGCUAUGACGUACAUUUAGAAAGGGAAGAAACGUCAGUGUUGAACCUGAAAACGAUAAUUUUCAAAUUACGCCUGGGGCCACGCACGAGGGGACUGCAAAAUGAAAUCUUGGCUUCUCACUUUGAAAAUGCACUGGAGUUUGACAUGAACGUACACAUUUGACUUUUGCAUUCUGCCGGUUGGUUACACCACAGGACAGCCCGGGUCAGGGACAUCUGUGUCUGAAAGCACUGGAAACCUUCACCAGGUCUCUCGGAGUCUUUCUGGUCCAACAUCUCACAGCGUUUCUAUAACUUCAAUGAACUAUAUACCAGGACUCUUUUCCGUGGAGGCAAGGUACACUCCUGUCUGAAGAACAACUCUUCCGCAGAGGGUCCUGAGCAGAAAUCACAAGGUGAAGUCUGAUGGGACAAUGGAGCAUGCCAGCGAGGAGAGACGAUACACACAUUGACACCCCAUUCAUAUUCCUGAUGCCCCAUGAGCACAGAGUUCUAGGGGACCCAUGAUGCAUUGGGUGUUCAAUGAGGCUCCAAUCAAGUACAUAUUCUGCUGCCCAUUUUCAUCCGUCUGCCAGUUAAGGUAGAGUCAUGCAUCAAUGGCCCUAAAUGCGAAAGUGACAGCACCCAGUUCCUAAAGGAUAAGGAGUGUCCACAUUGCCAGCUUCUCAGGGAUGCUGACAUUUGGACUGGUUCUUGAAGAAUAAGUGGAAGAGUGAAAGUCAGAGAAGGGGACAAGGGCAUUCCAAACAGAGAAUUAUAUCUGCAAAGUGAGAGAAGCAGCGGUGAGGACCUGAAGGUCCAACUGAAGCUGGGGCUAGAAGGAGGAAGGGAGUGGUGAGGGAUGUGCUUGAUUUUAAGAGCUUGGACCAUGAUGCUAGAGAGCCCGGGCUUUGGCCAGAAGUAACAGGACAUGACGGCUUUGAUUUUAGAAGAUAUCAGUGGCAGCAGUUGUAAAGCGUGAAUUGGAUGAGCAAUCAGCUGGGGGCAAGAAGAUCAACUGUGUCAGCUGUUGCAACAGUCCAAGCAAGAAAGUGGGGUAGAACUGGAAUUAUGGUGCUGGAAGAGAAAGACAGCUCUCUGACUUACAGGUAGAAGGAGAAAGAGAACAAACAAGGGCAGGAUGUAAGAGUCAGUCCAGCAUAAAUCUAAGCGCUUGAGUCUGACCUGAAUAUGGCUUUUGCUGUGUCUUCUUAAUUCCUUUAUUUCAUUGGCUCCUUUAUUAAAGCUCAUACUUCGUGCUGAAGGAUUUAGUACUGUCUUUCUCUUUCCCCUUACACCUUCCAAGAGGAUUAUCUAUUAAUCCAAAUGCUGAUGGUCCUUCAUUUCCCUUACAAAAAUAGCCCUACUCUAUAACAGGAUCUUCGCUGCAACUAGAUGAGCAUUUUAAAUAGAGCCUGAGAAGAAAAUGAUUCUCAGCACUCUCUAGAUUCCAUGUUUAUCGCAUGAGUCUUUACUAUGUUUUAUGUUCAUGGAAUUUAGCGUCAAAAGCAAUGGACAUCAAAGUGAGGUGAAAAAAUAAACACAAUAAAUACAGAGCAUCUCAUCUUAUUUGUUCCUUCAUUCAGGGAGUACGAAGCAGAAAGCACAGUGCUGGGUGCUUCUUAAGCACACAUAAGGAUCAAUUAUGUGGAAGUUUAAAUUCUGGUGGGAGAUAUCCAAUGCAUAAAUAAUGAUAAUAUGAAAUUAAAUGUGGUAUGUGGCAUAAGAAAAAUAAUAGAAUAUUGUAGUAUUUAAAAAGGAGUGAUUACUUCUCGUUGGUGUAACCAUGGUGGCUUAAUAAAGUUGGAGAUAUUUGACCUGAGGCUCAGUUCAAAAGGUAUUUCAGGUGGGAGAAAUUUCAUAAAGAUGAGGGCUGGGGGGAUGUGAGGUGCAGAGCGAAUGUUCAGUUUGGCUGGAGCACACGCUGUGUGGAAGGAAUCAGCCAGAGAUGAGGCUGGACGGAGCUGAGGUCUGAAUGCCCGGCCGAGCGGUGCACGGUGCACAGCAGACCGAAGGGAGGCUCUGAACAGGAGCUGGAAUGAUCAGAGAGUGAGUUUUAAGGUGAUUAAUCUUGGCAGUGGUAGAUAAGACAGAUUAGAUGGUAGAGAGAUUGGAAACCGUUUAGGAGGCUAAACCGUUUAGGGCAGCAGUAAUGAGAGUCUGAAAUGAAAGUAGACGCCAUGGAACAGAAAAUGAAAGCAUGGAUUCAAGAGGUCUUAGCAAAAGACUCUCAAGUCAUUCAGUUUU